rnacentral:misc_RNA from 1 species
CUUACGACGCCGACGCCCGCACGAGCGCCUCGAGCCGCCAGGCUGAGGGCUCGAAUACAAGCGUGGCGGUCGUUCAUGUCGUUGGACAAAAYGCGUUGCUUGGGCAAAAAGGAGGCCAAGAGACCACCCACCCGCGCAUAACAUUCCGCAUCCGAGAGCACGGGCAAAGCACCUCGUGGGCCAAGGCAACCACGCAACUGGGCGAGGCGUGCCAGGAGCACGAGGCUUGCCUAACGUCCACCCCAACACCUGCGAGGGCAUGGGGCGGAGAGGAACAAACGAACUACCGAAUUCCUUCAGGUAGGUAAGCAACACAGGAUACCGUACGCACCCCCAAGGCGGCAACGACGCAUUGGGGAACAAUGAAGAGGAUGGGGCGUCAACAGUUCGAUGCACGAGCACGGAGCCU